rnacentral:rRNA from 1 species
CCUGGCUCAGAUUCGAACGCUGGCGGAAUGCUUUACACAUGCAAGUCGAGCGGCAGCAUGGACUUCGGUCUGAUGGCGAGCGGCGAACGGGUGAGUAACAUAUAGGAACAUACCCAGGUAAUGGGGGAUAACUCCGAGAAAUCGGAGCUAAUACCGCAUACGCCCUGACGGGGGGAAAUCGGGGGGAUCUUCGGACCUCGCGUUAUUGGAAUGGCCUAUAUCUGAUUAGCUAGUUGGUGAGGGUAAAGGCUCACCAAGGCGACGAUCAGUAGCUGGUCUGAGAGGAUGAUCAGCCACACUGGAACUGAGACACGGUCCAGACCCCUACGGGAGGCAGCAGUGGGGAAUUUUGGACAAUGGGCGAAAGCCUGAUCCAGCCAUUCCGCGUGAGUGAAGAAGGGCCUUCGGGUUGCAAAGCUCUUUCGACGGGAAAGAAAUUGCCGCUUCUAAUACAAGCGGUAGAUGACGGUACCUGAAGAAGAAGCACCGGCUAACUACGUA